rnacentral:miRNA from 2 species
UAGAUUUUUUUUUUUUUUUU